GAUGAACGCUGGCGGCGUGCAUAACACAUGCAAGUCGAACGAUGAAACUUAGUCGACUUCUUCGGAAAGACACUAAGCGGAUUAGUGGCGAACGGGUGAGAAACGCGUGAGUAACCUGCCUUACACAAGGGGAUAGCCUUUGGAAACGAAGAAUAAUACCCUAUAAAACCAUAAAAGCACAUGCUAGAAUGGUCAACGUGGUAGCGGCGUAAGAUGGACUUGCGUCUGAUUAGCUAGUUGGUGAGAGAAAAGCUCACCAAGGCAACGAUCAGUAGCCGGAUUGGGAGAGUGUACGGCCCUCUUGGGACUGGGACAAGGCCCAGACUCCUGCGGGAGGCAGCAGUGGUGACUUUUGCACAAUGGGGGAAACACUGAGGCAGCGACGCCGCGUGAUUUAGAUGUCCGUCGGGUUGUAAAAUUCUUUUGUAUAGGAAGAAAAUGACAGUACUAUACGAAUAAGGUCCGGCUAAUUACGUG
rnacentral:rRNA from 1 species